rnacentral:tmRNA from 1 species
GGGGAUGCUAGGCAUCGACGGUUAGUCGUGUCGAAUGUGUGCGUGUCGAAAUUGGUAAUCAAUUCGUUAAAAGGUUCCACUUUGUACAUGCAAACAAAGCAGUACCAAGCCCGUACGCUCGCGCGUUCGGGUUCGCACCCGCUGUAGCGUAACUUUAACGCUCGCCGCUGCGAUGCGAAGCCAGUAAACGUCUCAUACGUUGGUCUUCGUAGAAUAGCCAUGAGACUUUGGAAACCAAGUCAGUUGUGCUCGGUUUCUAAGCUUUGUAACAACUCGACAGUGUAGUGUUUGGUCACACUUAUAGCUACACUGUUUAAAUCUUAAAGUGUAACUACACACGUAGACUCACCUCCGCACCCUAACUCGGACGCGGGUUCAACUCCCGCCAUCUCCACAU